rnacentral:rRNA from 1 species
AUUGAGCGCUGGCGGCAGGCCUAACACAUGCAAGUCGAGCGGAUGAAGGGAGCUUGCUCCUGGAUUCAGCGGCGGACGGGUGAGUAAUGCCUAGGAAUCUGCCUGGUAGUGGGGGAUAACGUCCGGAAACGGGCGCUAAUACCGCAUACGUCCUGAGGGAGAAAGUGGGGGAUCUUCGGACCUCACGCUAUCAGAUGAGCCUAGGUCGGAUUAGCUAGUUGGUGGGGUAAGGGCCUACCAAGGCGACGAUCCGUAACUGGUCUGAGAGGAUGAUCAGUCACACUGGAACUGAGACACGGUCCAGACUCCUACGGGAGGCAGCAGUGGGGAAUAUUGGACAAUGGGCGAAAGCCUGAUCCAGCCAUGCCGCGUGUGUGAAGAAGGUCUUCGGAUUGUAAAGCACUUUAAGUUGGGAGGAAGGGCAGUAAGUUAAUACCUUGCUGUUUUGACGUUACCAACAGAAUAAGCACCGGCUAACUUCGUG